rnacentral:sRNA from 1 species
AACUAUAAAAUUUUUUUAUUCGUUUUCUCAAUUCUUUUGCUGACCAUUAUUUUGCCGGUUCAUAAAUCUUUUCGAAAAAACAAUGGAAUAAUUGCAAAUUUAAUAAGUGAUGCUACUUAGCGAUAUAAGCUGACCCAUAUACACGCAGAUGAAGACAAUUUUUGGUGAUGAUUUGGUGAACGCAUCUGACAUUAUGUAUUUGGACAUUGCAAAUUUUGUCGGAUCAUUUGGCAACUAUCCAAAAAUUUUAAUGACUUAUUCAGCUAGUUCUGAAAUUUAGUGAAAACUUCAAAAAUAACGGACUAAAUAAUUAAAAAGUGUCUAUUGAAUGUCCCUACUGACAUUCUAUUGUCCCAUAUAUCUCACAAUAUA